UUUAUUUCAGCUUAGCUGUGGUUGUAGAAGAUGCGUCGUCUUCCUGCUGUGUCACAGUGAAAGUCCUCCCUCACGCGACCAUCGCUUCUCUGAAGCAGCAGAUGUUUGUUGAGUAUGGUUUCCACCCCAGGGUGCAGCGCUGGGUCAUCGCUCAGUGUCUGUGCUCUGACGGACGCUCUUUAGCGUCGUAUGGCAUCUACAGCUAAGCUUAAUAUACCGACUCCAGCUUCUGAACAGUAGUGUAUGAAUGUUCCAGUUCCUCUUGCUGUUUUCAUCAUCACUGCUUGCUUCAGAGUGUGUUUCUGAUUGGUCAGCAGGCAGCGGUGGGUGUGGCCCAGAGAAACACAGCGUCAGUGACAUCAUUAAUCUUGAAAUGUUGCAACUUGGAGGAUCCAAACACAAAUCAAGUAACACGCAGUCAGGCUGGUCCUGUCCUUCCUGUACGUUUCAUAAAUAAGUCUACGAGACCCGGCUGUGAAAUCUGCAGCACAGAUCGACCCAAUCCUCCCAAUCACAGCGGCGUUCAGCAGGAAAAAGCAAGAAGAUCUAACCAGUGAAACUGUGUAAAAGUGUAAAUACACACAAACCCCUAAAAUAAUCUCACAUUCGAAUGACACGCGAGGACCUACAAUUCUUGGUUUUAAUAAGAGCUGGCCUGCAAACAAAGCUUGAAACUCUCAUAGUGACUCUGCAGCGUAUUUCCCCAAUGGCUUCAUCUCUAUUAGUUCACAGCUGAUUUGUUGCUUGUUUCUCGUGAAGGAGUCGUGACAUGGAUUUGCUUUUGAGCUCGAUUAAACGCUUUGUUUAUAAGGAGGAAGCUGUGAAACUUGCCAGAUGUUUUAAUGGUACAAAGACCUCUUAUAUGUCAAAAGAUCGAGGAAAAAUGUGAUUUCUCAUGACGCCUUUAAUGGAGUGAUAUAACUGUUGAGCAGUAUUAGGCACCAGAUGUUAUUCAGGUUCAUUGUCCGAGCUAAUAAAAAAAAAACAGCAGAAAGGUUGGAAAGGAGACCAUGCACAAGUUAGAAUUUCUAGAUUUCAUUUCAUUUGCAGACGUGACUCUGCUUCUUUUGCUGUUUAUUCACAAGCUCAUACUGUAAUUUCUGCUCGUGCAACUGUUUAGGAAUCUUCUUCCCUCACUUCACGGAGUGUAAAUCAGUGUUCAUGUCCGCUAGAACUAGAACAGGACAAUUAAUGUUUUUAAUAUAUGUUCAUCAAGCUCUAUUUUAGGGGCUUCAGUUUUAAAUGUGACUGUAUGUCAUUAUGUGAUGAGGCCAGUGCAUAGUGAGAAGAAAACUGAAUGAAACUUCCAUAA